UAAUUAUGGUGAGGGCAAUUUCUGAGCAUACCUUUGUAUCUCUCCCAAGUUUGGUAGAGGUUUUUUCCUUCUUUAUGCUUGAAACUCAAAAUUUUUCUUCUCAAACA
rfam:Capsicum annuum cultivar Zunla-1 chromosome 8, whole genome shotgun sequence